GCACAGCACAUUCCUGAAGGACCUUGACCUAGAUUCUCCCACCGUAGUUGGAUGCUCAAUAAAGGAAUGUAGAAGAAUGUUGGGAGAGAAGCAUUCUCACCUAUUUCUGAUCUUAACAGGUACAGACAGUGCAAAGGUGGUGUGCCUAGUGAGCUUGGAUGUAUCAAACAGCUGUAAGAAAAUCUCUCCAACCUUCUCUGAAUAAAGGAGGAAUGUGGUGUUUAUUGAGGAACAGGCAACCCUUACAUUUGAAUAAAAGAUGCCAUAUA
rnacentral:lncRNA from 10 species